rnacentral:rRNA from 1 species
UAUUCCGGAGAGGGAGCCUGAGAAAUGGCUACCACUUCUACGGAGGGCAGCAGGCGCGUAAAUUGCCCAAUGACAAAAAAUGUUGAGGCAGCGAAAAGAAAUAGGUCUCUUAAACGUCUCAACGGCGUUUGGGAGUUGCAAUGGGGGAUAUUUAAAGCCAUCCAAUAUCGAGUAACAAUUGGAGGACAAGUCUGGUGCCAGCACCCGCGGUAAUUCCAGCUCCAAGAGCGUAUAUUAACGCUGUUGCUGUUAAAGGGUUCGUAGUUGAACUGAGGGCUGUCAAGGAGUCAGAUCCGUCCCAUCCACCGGAUCGGCGACCUCUGCUCUUGCAGCCCGUGAACGUCAGAAACAAACAUCGCGGGAUUGUUUCCUCCCAGAUACGCGUGCAAUGUACGCAGGGGGGCGCCCGUGUGUCUUACUGUGACUAAAAAAGCGCGACCAAAGCAGUCGUUCGACAUGAAUUUGAAAGCAUGGGAUAACGAAAGCUACCUACGAGUUUCCGUUUCGGCUUUUGUUGGUUUUAAAGACCAGUGGGAGAUUAUGGCCUCCGCAUUGACAAGCGGUUCGGGGUAUCAUCCCCACGCCUCCGCCCUCACGGGCGGCUUGCGGGGCCUUGAAUGAAGGAGGGUUGUUCGGGGGAGAACGUACUUGAGCGUGAGAGGUGAAAUUCUUAGACCGCUCAAAGACGAACUACAGCGAAGGCAUUCUCCAAGGAUACCUUCCUCAAUCAAGAACCAAAGUGUGGAGAUCGAAGAUGAUUAGAGACCAUUGUAGUCCACACCACAAACGGUGACCCCCACGAAUUGGGGAGUUUUUGGCGGCGGGUCCCGGCAGCUUCACGGCUGUCGGGCUCGCCCCAAGAAAGAAUACAAUUUACGUGCAUAUUCUAUAGCCGGCCCUCGGGUCGGUCAGCGGGAAUAUCCUCAGCACGUUCUUUUUCUUCACGCGAAAGCUCGAGGUUACAGUCUCAGGGGGGAGUACGUUCGCAAGAGUGAAACUUAAAGAAAUUGACGGAAGGGCACCACCAGGGGUGGAGCCUGCGGCUUAAUUUGACCCAACACGGGGAAACUCACCAGGUCCAGAUGAAAUAAGGAUUGACAGAUUGAGAGCUCUUUCUUGAUUUUUCAGGUGGUGGUACAUGGCCGUUCUUAGUUCGUGGGGUGACUUGUCUGCUUAAUUGCGAUAACGAGCGAGACCUUACUCUGCUAAAUAGCCAGGCUAACUUUGGUUGGUCGCCGGCUUCUUAGAGAGACUAUCAACUCAAGUUGAUGGAAGUUUGAGGCAAUAACAG